ACAUUGCAUAGCAUAACAUAACAUUGCAUAACAGGUAUUCUAAAGGAUCAAUGUUCUCACGGUCUUCCUUCUAAACAGAACAGAUGGCUCUCGAACAAACUGUCAAAGAUCUCCAGGCUCAGAAUGCUCAAUUCCAGGAGAUGAUCUUGAACUUAUCCAAGGGGCAGGAGGAGCUGAAGGCUCUCUUGCUCGAGAAGAAGAAAGACAAGAAAGUUGUGAGUUACAUUAACCCGGGAAGAAG
rnacentral:lncRNA from 1 species